rnacentral:rRNA from 1 species
CCUACGGGUGGCAGCAGUGAGGAAUAUUGGUCAAUGGUCGGGAGACUGAACCAGCCAAGCCGCGUGAGGGAGGAAGGUACAGAGUAUCGUAAACCUCUUUUGUCAGGGAACAAAGACUGGGACGCGUCCCCGGAUGAGUGUACCUGAAGAAAAAGCAUCGGCUAACUCCGUGCCAGCAGCCGCGGUAAUACGGAGGAUGCGGGCGUUAUCCGGAUUUAUUGGGUUUAAAGGGUGCGGAGGCGGCUCGUUAAGUCAGCGGUCAAAUGCCGGGGCUCAACCCCGGCCCGCCGGUUGAAACUGGCAGUCUCGAGUUGGAGAGACGUAUGCGGAAUGCGCGGUGUAGCGGUGAAAUGCAUAGAUAUCGCGCAGAACUCCGAUUGCGAAGGCAGCAUGCCGGCUCCACACUGACGCUGAGGCACGAAGGCGUGGGUAUCGAACAGGAUUAGAUACCCUGGUAGUC